CGCCGGAGAGCUUUUGGGCUUUCCCUCUCUCCUCAUCACGUGAGGACUGUGAAAAGGCAGCCAUCUACAAGCCAGGAAGAGAGCCUCUUCCAAGGACAGACUCUGCCAGACCUUGAUCUGGGACUGCUAGUUUCCAGAACUAUCUGUAGAACAGAAGUCUGGCAUGGCAUGGCGUGGCAUGGAUUCUUUGCUCAGAAUCUCACAAAGCCAAAAUCAAGGUGUUGGUAGGGCUGCAUUCCUUUUUGGCGGCUAUUGGGAAGAAUCUGUAUCCAAGCUGUAUCCAAGAUUGACUGGGCAGUUCUUCUACUGGUCUUGCUCAGAUUCCCUCACAGAGCUGGUUCUACUGGAGCUGGAGAGUCUAAGAUGGUCUCACCAUCAUGUUUGGGACCUUGACAGGGAUGAUUGCAAAGGUUUAUGUAACAAUGCGAAGGAGGCAAAGCAAAUCGAUGGUGUUCCUUGGCUGUGCAUGGAUCUUUAUUGUCCUUGUGUGCCUUCACUCCAACUCUGAUUAAAAAGGACUCU
rnacentral:lncRNA from 1 species